rnacentral:tRNA from 1 species
GCAGUGGCUCAAUUGGCAGAGCACCGGUCUCCAAAACCGGCGGUUGAGGGUUCGAGUCCCUCCUGCC